rnacentral:rRNA from 1 species
GACGAACGCUGGCGGCGUGCCUAAUACAUGCAAGUUGAGCGCUGAAGGUUGGUACUUGUCCCAACUGGAUGAGCAGCGAACGGGUGAGUAACGCGUGGGGAAUCUGCCUUUGAGCGGGGGACAACAUUUGGAAACGAAUGCUAAUACCGCAUAAAACCUUUAAACACAAGUUUUAAGUUUGAAAGAUGCAAUUGCAUCACUCACAGUUGAUCCCGCGUUGUAUUAGCUAGUUGGUGAGGUAAAGGCUCACCAAGGCGAUGAUACAUAGCCUACCGGAGUGGGGGAACGGCCAAAUUGGGACUGAGACACGUCUCAAACUCCUACGAGAGGAAGCAGUAGGGAAUCUUCGGAAAGGGACGAAAGUCUGAACGAGCAACGCCGCGUGAGUGAAGAAGGUUUUCGGAUCGUAAAACUCUGUUGGUAGAGAAGAACGUUGGUGAGAUUGGAAAGCACAUAAAGUGACGGUAACUACCCAGAAAUAGACGGCUAACUACGUG